UGGGGAAUAUUGCACAAUGGGCGCAAGCCUGAUGCAGCCAUGCCGCGUGUAUGAAGAAGGCCUUCGGGUUGUAAAGUACUUUCAGUCGGGAGGAAGGUGGUAAGGUUAAUAACCUUGGCAAUUGACGUUACCGACAGAAGAAGCACCGGCUAACUCCGUGCCAGCAGCCGCGGUAAUACGGAGGGUGCAAGCGUUAAUCGGGAUUACUGGGCGUAAAGCGCACGCAGGCGGUUGAUUGAGUCAGAUGUGAAAUCCCCGGGCUUAACCCGGGAAUUGCAUCUGAUACUGGUCAGCUAGAGUCUUGUAGAGGGGGGUAGAAUUCCAUGUGUAGCGGUGAAAUGCGUAGAGAUGUGGAGGAAUACCGGUGGCGAAGGCGGCCCCCUGGACAAAGACUGACGCUCAGGUGCGAAAGCGUGGGGAGCAAACAGG
rnacentral:rRNA from 1 species